UACGUAGGGUGCGAGCGUUACUCGGAAUUACUGGGCGUAAAGCGUGCGCAGGCGGUUCGUUGUGUCUGAUGUGAAAGCCCCGGGCUUAACCUGGGAAUGGCAUUGGAAACUGGCGAGCUGGAGUAUGGCAGAGGGGGGUGGAAUUCCGCGUGUAGCAGUGAAAUGCGUAGAGAUGCGGAGGAACACCGAUGGCGAAGGCAGCCCCCUGGGCCAAUACUGACGCUCAGGCACGAAAGCGUGGGGAGCAAACAGG
rnacentral:rRNA from 1 species